rnacentral:rRNA from 1 species
AUGGACGAAGGAAGAAAUUUAGCAACACUUUUCCCGCAGGAUCUCUUGCAAGAAGAAAAUAAUCUCCAAAUUCGACUUGUCAAUUUUAUUUCUCAUGAAAAUAGCAAGUUAACUCAAAGAAUUUAUCACACAAAUAGUCAAUUUGUUAGAACUUGCUUAGUAGUGAAUUGGGAACAAGAAGAAAAAGAAAAGGCUGGUGCUUCCCUUGUUGAGGUAAGAGCAAAUGAUCUUAUUCGCGAUUUCCUAAGAAUUGAGUUAGUCAAGUCCACUAUUUCGUAUACACGAAAAAGGUAUGAUAGGACAAGUGCGGGACCGAUUCCCCAUAAUAGGUUAGAUCGCGCCAAUAUCAAUUCUUUUUAUUCCAAGGCGAAGAUUGAAUCACUUAGCCAACAUCCAGAAGCUAUUGGCACUUUGUUGAAUUGA